rnacentral:rRNA from 1 species
GAUGAACGCUGGCGGCGUGCCUAAUACAUGCAAGUCGAGCGAACAGACGGGGAGCUUGCUCCUCUGACGUUAGCGGCGGACGGGUGGGUAACACGUGGAUAACCUACCUAUAAGACUGGGAUAACUUCGGGAAACCGGAGCUAAUACCGGAUAAUAUAUUGAACCGCAUGGUUCAAUAGUGAAAGACGGUUUUGCUGUCACUUAUAGAUGGAUCCGCGCCGCAUUAGCUAGUUGGUAAGGUAACGGCUUACCAAGGCAACGAUGCGUAGCCGACCUGAGAGGGUGAUCGGCCACACUGGAACUGAGACACGGUCCAGACUCCUACGGGAGGCAGCAGUAGGGAAUCUUCCGCAAUGGGCGAAAGCCUGACGGAGCAACGCCGCGUGAGUGAUGAAGGUCUUCGGAUCGUAAAACUCUGUUAUUAGGGAAGAACAAAUGUGUAAGUAACUAUGCACGUCUUGACGGUACCUAAUCAGAAAGCCACGGCUAACUACGUG